GAAACUACAUGUAAGACGUGCAGUACUGUCCUUUUUCCAGAAGAUAUCCGAUCUAAAUGUCUUUGCUCCAAAAUCUUCUCUAUUCCAUUUCUUCUCCAUGAACACUAUGAAGUUGAUUCAUAGAGCUUUGGUUCUUGUCUUUGCCUUGAUAGUUUCUCAUUUACUCAUCUGUUCACCACUGUCCUUUCAUUGUUGGAAAGACACUCAUAUUCCUAGAGUUAGAUAUCAAACCAGGAGAUUGUUAGGUUCUUUAGCUUCUGUUUCUGCAAAUCUAAACAAGUUGAGUGGAGCCAUUCAAGAUCCAAACAAAGCUGUGGGGACAAGUCUAAGAAAAGCUCCACCCAGUGCUUCAAAUCCAACCCAAAACAAGUAAUUCCAGUGUUUGUUUUACCUUUACUGUUGGAUGGAAUCCUGGACUUGUAACAAAACAUCAGAAAUAGUACAGUUUAUUUCAGAAGAUCACCACA